rnacentral:rRNA from 1 species
GGCGCCCGGACUCUCUUGGAGAGGGCUCACGCGUGCUACAAUGGCCCAUACAAAGAGCAGCGACCUCGCGAGAUCAAGCCGACCUCAUAAAGUGCGUCGUAGUCCGGAUUGGAGUCUGCAACUCGACUCCAUGAAGUCGGAAUCGCUAGUAAUCGUGGAUCAGAAUGCCACGGUGAAUACGUUCCCGGGCCUUGUACACACCGCCCGUCACACCAUGAGAGUGGGUUGCAAAAGAAGUAGGUAGCUUAACCUUCGAGAGGGCGCUUACCACUUUGGGAUUCAUGACUGGGGGGGAGGCCUAACAAGGAACCGUAGGCGAACGUGGCGGUUGGUUACCUCC